UGAAGUGUUCAUUUAUGGCAGAGUCUUUGGAGUCAUCAGCCCAAGGGAGGUUGGGGGUGGUGGGGAAGUUACUGUUUUUCUCUAUCUCUACCCUCCAGUGGACCAACAAAACAAAUAUCUUGGAUUCUUUACUUGCACUGCCUUGAUGGGAGACAAGGGCAGAUCCAAGGGAAGUACUAACGAAACCGGUUUUUCAUCCCUUUGAAAUCAUAUACCAGUAACGGCUUCAAGUUGGAGAGGAGAGACAAAGCGCUGUUGAAGAGGCAAAAGGAAAUAAGAUCAGAGAAUGGAGAUGUGGCAGGCCUCGUUCCCUCCCCACUCUUGCUGUCCCUGAUGAUGGAGGAGACAUGAGUGAUGCCUUUCAAGAAAUCUGUAUAUUUUGAAAUAAUCAAAACGCCAGGCAAUAAAAUUUUUUUUUAAAGGUAAAAGGAAAUCACCAUGUAAGCUGAUGAUUUCUUUUGGGGAACCUUCAUUCGGGACGAUGACUCAAGGGGAAGAACAGCCACUUCAUUCUGACAUUACAACACGAUACCAGGUAAACAUUAUGGAGAUGGAUUUCCUAAGCAGACUAUUCAUCUAAAAGAAAAGAAAGAAAAGAAAAAAAAAAAGAAUUCAAUCCUCUGGGCUUCCACAUGCCUCCGUUCUCCAGGUAGAAGGAACAAGAGCCAUAUACUGAAGUUGAAGUCAAGAGAUGGGAAAAGAGAUUCAGAAAAGUAAAGCGGAAUAACUGCGAGUAAUAUAUUUUAAAGGAUAUUCACAUGCAAAUAGAACCAAGACUAAAUGAUGACAGAACCAAUUAUACAGAAGGCAAUUAAACGUGUCACUUCAAAACUGUCAAAUACGAACGAAUGGUUUGUCCUUAAAAUGAAAAUAGUGAAUCAUUCCACGUGGAAAAGAAUUGCUUCAUAUCAUUUGAAGAACUUCAAAAUAAAAUAUCUCUAGUGAGGCCCUACACACAUAUUAAGCUAGCAGAAAUAGGCUGGAAUGAUAAAAUUUCAUGUUGGUCAAGCUGUGGGAAAA